CUAAUAUUUAAAAAUUUAAAAUUAAAAUAAAUAUUUUAUUAUUUAUAAUAAAAAUAAUCAUUGUAAAUAAUUAUAUUUAUGAUGAAAAUUUUUUCAUCAUAAAUAUGGAGUUAUUUGUGAUGAAAAAAAUUUUCAUCGUAAAUAUUUUAUUAUUAGCGAUGAAUUUAGUUUUUCAUCGUAAAUUGACUUAUUGGCGAUGAAAUAUUUUUCAUCGCAAAUAUUUUCAUUGUAAAAAAAUCUCUUUUCUUUUAGUGAGGGAGUGUAUCUACCACUGUUUAAAAGUACAGGGGGUGUAAGUGUAAUAUUUUCAAACUUGAGGGGAGCUCAUAAUAAUGUUAUAAUAUUAUAGGGGGA
rnacentral:lncRNA from 1 species